rnacentral:rRNA from 1 species
AACGUAGGACGCGAGCGUUAUCCGGAGUUACUGGGCGUAAAGCGCGGGCAGGCGGUCUGACAAGUCUGAUGUGAAAUCACCCAGCCUUAACUGGGCGAGGCCAUUGGAAACUGACAGGCUGGAGGGCAGUAGAGGUAGGCGGAAUUCCGGGUGGAGUGGUGAAAUGCGUAGAGAUCCGGAGGAACACCAGAGGCGAAGGCGGCCUACUGGGCAGUAGCCGAAAGGCUUUACAAGACUGACACUGAGGCGCGACAGCGUGGGGAGCAAACAGG